rnacentral:rRNA from 1 species
GGGUAAUGCAUAGGUAACGUGCCCCUUAGUCUGGGAUAGCCACUGGAAACGGUGAUUAAUACUAGAUACGCCUUCUCUCUUAAUGAGAGUUGGGAAAGUUUUUCGCUAAGGGAUCGGCCUAUGUUGUAUCAGGUAGUUGGUGAGGUAAUGGCUCACCAAGCCUAUGACACAUAGCGGGUCUGAGAGGAUGAUCCGCCACACUGGUACUGAGACACGGACCAG